rnacentral:lncRNA from 1 species
GGUAUCAACCUCGUCACUUUAUCCCGCUCGGUAUCGCCUUGUCGUAGCUGACCAUCUUUGGCUAGCCCUCCGGACUCGCCAUCGCCCGGCUGUGCGGUCUCUCGCCCUCUUGCUCCCUUCUGUGUGCAACCGCUUUAGUUUCCCGCGUCUUUGUUGAGACCUUGUUGUAGGCUCAUGAAGUUCCUUGAGAUGGCAGCGUUCCUGAACUGCACGGCUGCACCUAGUGCAACGCAGACAUCACGAGGGAGACGGUGAGCAGGGCGCAGCCCAGGAGGCCGCGACGACCGCGAACAGCCUGAGGUCACAAGACGUGACACUCAAUCCCACGCCAGCCCUCGACGGAUGCUUCUGACGUUGGUGGUGCUUCCUCUGUCGCAACCUCCCGAUGUUGGUCACGCCUGGCCUCCAGGGCCGGCCCUCAGGCCCCCAAGGUCUACAGGUUCCUGUUUAUUCAGUUUAUAUCCAAAUAUAUAUACGUUACAGAUAAAUCUCUAUUCUCGUUCUUUUGUUGGGUCUAUUUGAUUUUUUUGAAAUCAUCUUUUUAAGGUCACGCAACAGUCUGCUUAAUGACGAAUACUAAAUAUUGAUUAACGUGAGCAGGACGGAAGGUAUUGUACACUUGUGCUUGUCGCGUUGCUUAAUUCUAGUCUACCAGAGGGCCAACUCUAAUAACCUAUGUUGCUUAAUCAUUGUUUAGUUUGUUGAACUUUGUUUUCAGAAAAUUUGCUCUAAUGUAUUAAGAUUUGGUUUACUGUGUAUUUUAAGGUUUAGGUUAGUUUGACAAAUUAAAAGUAAAAAUACUCGCUCUCAAAAGUCAAAACAAAUGCAGAGUUAUAUUACAUAAUUUGUAUAAUUUUACGACUCAUAAAAUAUUAUAAAAGUUUCUUCAGUCAUAUCAUUUUCAAUAAAAUUGUAUAAAUUAUUAAUUUUUUAUUUUUCAGAUAUUAUUUAAAAGUUAAAAAAUAUCAUAUUUAAAUCUUCGUAUAGAUCCUCCAUAUAGAUUUUUGCUUAGGGCCCCCGAAAUAUCAGGACCGGCCCUAGCCUCUCGGGCUUCCGGCCUCGGCUCCCCUGCACGGCAGUUGCCGCUGGCGAAGAAGAAGGACCACCGACAGUGGAGGGCAAAGCACCGUCCAUUCCCGGCCCAUGCUGCUCAGUCAAGACGACUGAGGUGGCAAAAACAGUGAGGUUGAAAAACAAAAACCCUAUAUCAAAUAGAGAGUCUGUUGGCACAUCAUCCUUUAAGCAAGUUGUCUAUUUUAAAUAGUCAUCUCUAAACUAUAUAUUUAGCUAGUAUUUAUAGAUAAACUGUUAGAGUUGCUCUUAUAGAGCAAUUAUUGCUUUUAACGAACAUUUAUAUUUAACUAGCCAAUUUAAAAACUGUUGGAACACAAUUUUUUAAAUAAAAUCCCUAUUCGUGACAAUUAGAAACGAUGGCAUUUUAAGGCUGUUUGAAUCUACUAUAGGUAGACAAUAGACUGUUUGGAUCCAUUGGUUAGAGAAAAGGAACUGAUUGAGGUCUUGUUUGGAAGUCACACAGUUUUAAGAAACUAUUUUUUAUCUUUUAAGUAGUAGAGAAUUCAAUUUCUAUAAAUUAAGGCAUAAACUGGUAUGUUUGAAACCACCUCAAUUUUUAUAAACCAAUUUUUUUAAAAAACCGGAUGCUUCCAAAUAGAUUCUAAGAUACGACCUUGGAAACUAGAAGUGUGAAAACACCAUUCAUUCAAAAAGUUAGAAUAUAAUAAAUUAGGGAUAAUUGUGAUUAUAGUCUUCGCUGCCCUUGCAAUUACGAUUUUAUCCUCUAUUUUUUAACUCUGUGAUUUUACCCCUCCGUUUUAAGAAGGAAGCUCUGUUAUACCCUUGCGCUAUUGUGUGCAGUUAACAGCGUUAAAUCUAAUAGAAAAGACAAAAACAUCAAUGCAGUUUAUUGUUAUUUUACCCCUCGUUUCGAUGACGUGAUAAAAACAUGGGUAAAAUCAUAAAUAUAUAAUAUAGCGCGAAGUAAAAUCAUAGUAAAUUAUAUGGGCAUUUUUGUCUUUUCACAUCGAUUUUAGCAUAAUCAACCACACAUAACGGCGCAAGGGUAUGACAGAGGAUUGUUUUAAAAACGAAGGGUAAAAUCACAAAGUUGAAAAAUAAAGGGUAAAAUCACAACUACAAGGCCUGGAAGGGGUAUAAUCACAAUUGCAUGUCUAGAAAAAGGAAAAAGCAAAACAAGUAGAAGUGAGUAGGGUCAACAAGAUUACAAGUGUGACGAAGGACAUUUUUAUGUUAUCCAAAUUUAUCCAUUGAUUGAUUACUUGUUUUUAGAGCUAUAUUCAUUCAUUUACGUAUAAAAACUCUCUUGCAUUUUCUUUUCACUUAAAAUUAUCUAAAACAAGAUCAUUUUAGUAACAACAUGCAUUAUAAAAAACGGAAGAAAUCUAUUGAAAAAUUAUAUCAUGAGAAUAUAAGUUCAUUUAAAACUAUAUUAUCAAUAUCUCUAAGAAUAUUCGGGACUAGUUAUUACAUUGAAUCGAAGGAAGAGACAUGAAUCCUUAUCCCAGAACAAAAGAAUAAAAAAAGGAAAACAUUUUUUAUUAUAAAAAUAGGUGUUUGGAAUAUAAGGACAUGUAAAUAUGUUUUUCUCGCUACUAAUAAAUAAGGAAUUGUUCAUCUCUAUGUCUACAUGUAGGAAAACAUUUUACAAGGUUAAAAGAUGUUUAAUUUUUUUAUUUUGUAAAGUAAAACAUGCCUUUCUAUAGAAAAAAGAAAACUUCAUGUCACAAAUCAAGUGGUGUACAUGAUCAAAUUCCUGCAAUUCUCAUUUGACAUAUGUGUCAACAUCUAGAGAACAUUAUACCCUCCGAUCACCAAGACACAUUCAAAUAUUCUGGUAAAAGAGGCUAUCAUUGAGCCAAUUAUAUGGGGACAAACAACACCUAGGAUACCAUUGCUAGAGGACCUCCCUCUCCCUAACAUAGGAGCCCCUGACAGGUUCGCAUCUCAUAGGGCCUUUGCUACUUCAUCGAGGACAUCCACACCAGGGUACUUUCCUCCUUCCUGGAUUAGUUAGAGCUCCUCUAAAUGUUUCACUUUUUUUCUCUUAGUUUUGAGAAACUUGUGAAAGACGCCUAGAGGGGGUGAAUAUGCGAAACCUGAAAAUUAUAAACUUUGAACACAAUCUUUGUCCGAGAUUAGCGUUUGCAAAAAAUGGCUUCUCAUCUCAUAAACGAGAAAUAAGUACCUCCUCUUUGUAGUAAUAAUAAAAAUGUCAUGUGUCUCUACUAUCUGUAAGCUAUCCCAAUCAACUUUUGGCAUAUUUCCUGCAACCUCAAGAUCAUACCUAAACAAAUGUAAUCAUUUAUGAAAUACAUGACAUGAUAUAGGACACAAGCACAUGCUUUCUUCAUACUUGUUGUACUAUACAGCUGCGCAGGGUGUGGGCAGGGCCUGUCUGGCGCUGGGAAGGUUGUGGCCAGCCUAGCGGCGGCGAUCGAUUCGUCAAUCACAGGUUCGAUCCUCCCGUCCAUGGCGGCGCAAGCAAACACGAUCUCAACGAACACUGAGAAUCAUGCACAGGGGUAAAUGUGUCUCCUCAGGUGCUAACUACAUGCAAAUGGUUAAUGGUUUACAAAAGAAUAUUAUACGGUGGAAGGCAGUAUACUCAAUUGGAAGAUCUUUGUAAACCCAUUUUUGCGAGAUAAAUAUUUGUGAUGGCAUUACUGCGUGUUUAGAGUCCUAAAUAUGCAAUUGUCUCCCAAAAUACAGUUCAGUCAGUCCUAUCUAAUAAGAUCUUGCGAACAAUGGUCUCAAACAUACCGACUGAUUGGUUAAGUGUGUCCGUGGCUGCAGGAUGACCCGAGCCUGGCUGGUCGGAUACCGGCGUUUUGGCGGUACGAGCGGAUGCAGUCAAUUAGCCUCUAAAUGACUUGUUUUGCAUCGGCUCGUACAAUCCGCGUCUUCCACGUGCAGGUAACCAAAUACACGCUUAGUCAAAGUCAAUGCACGCAGUAGUCCAGAAUAAAGCGAUGCGAGCAACCAAUCAUAUGGAUAGUGUCUUUCACACUGACACUUGAGAUUCCACCAGAGUUGCUGCAUAAAUGACGUAAAGCAGAAAUUGUGUGAUAGUAUGUCCUUGCAAUAAACAUGGCAUUCUCACCGUGAGCAGUAUAGUAAUCUCUGCCACUUUCCUCCUGUAUUGCUUCUACUACAGCCUCCUUAUCAAAGAUAGGCCCCUCCUUAAAAGUAGCAGACACCAUUUAUCAAAGAUAGGCCCCUCCUUAAAAGUAGCAGACACCAUGUCAUCGAUGUAGCUCAGACAAUUUGUCAAACACAUGAAGGGCGCACUAGUGUUAAAGAUACUAUCAAAUACGAGCUCCACGUCAAAGGCAGGGUGCCCGUUGAGGACGCCGGUGUGUGCAGUCGAGGAGCCAUCGUUUCCUUGGUUGAACACGGCAAGCACGACAUCAUGGACCGGCUCGGUGUCAAAUACCGACAACGACCUGUCCGAGUCGGUGUCGAAGACGGUGAACUCAGAAUCACCGACCAUGUCACGGAGACGGUGAUAUGGUCGGUGAUCGAAUCAGUGUCGAACACCGGUCCCUUGUCGAGCUCGGCGAGGUCGUCGAAGUUGGUCUCAAUGUCCUCGAACACCACAUCGUCAAAAACGGGUUCGGCGCUGAGGUUGUCGGUGUCUGAAGACGGGUGCAAGGUCGACGUGGAACAGCUCCCGGUCAAAUAUGGUUCUCCCGACUGCUCGGAUUUGAGUGGAAUCGAGAGAGAAAUAGGGUAGGGUAGGAUGGGAAAAUUUUCUCCAAGGAAUGGAAUGGCUCAAUACCAUUUGUGAUGGUUCCACCGGGACGUGAGCGCACCGCAAGCUGAAUCCGCCUUCGGACGGAAGCCGGCGACGGAAGGGGAUAAGACCCGAUUCUUUUCUUCUCCCCUCCCCAUCUCUCUGAUGCUGCUCUUGUACCCAUCUCCGAGUUGUGGGCCAUGGGACACCAGACCAGAAACAAGCCAUGUGUUACAGUGAGAUACGACGCUAGAAGAUUAAUACCAGAUUAAACGAGUAAAUUUCCAAAGAACACCAAAUAGGAUGAACAAGUAGCUAAUACUCAAAUGUUAUUGUGGUACUGUGAAUUUGCUUAUUUGAAUGAUGAUGCAACGCUGCCAUUCAAAACCGAUUUCGCCAGUUGCCACGAACGCUCACGCCACGGUGGCCCUUGUCAUCGCAAGCUUCUCGUCGGCUCCGUCUUCAACAUCACCAUCCUCCUUCCCGGAGGAGUUCAGCCCGGCCGCCACCUCAAGCUCCCUCCACGGCCCGUCGAACAUCUCGGGGAACUUCUUGCACAAACCGACAACCACCCGCCUUGCCGCUCGCCCCUUGCCAGCGUCCUUAAGACCGCGCACCAGCACACGCACCGUUCCAAGGUCGGCCACCUUCCGGCGCUUCACUCCCGCGUAGAACACGUCCUCCGCCUCCGACCACCGCCCUGCGCCACAAAGUGCGCCCACCACGCAACUAUAUGUCGCGCAGUCCGGCACCACGUCCGCCUUCUUCCCGGCCUCCAGGCUGCGGUACACCUCCACCGCCUCAUCCAAUCUUUUGUGCCGCGCCAUCGCCCGCAUCAGCGCGUUGUAGGACCCGACAUCCGGCCGUAGGCUGGCCUCCUCGCGCAUGACGCGGAUCACCUCCUUGACCUCAUCCACGGUGCCGUUGGUGGACUUGUAGGUGAGCAGGGCGUUGUAGGCAGCGGUGUCGGGGGCGAUGCCGUGGUCCUGGACCAUGGCGCGCCACAUCUCCUCGGCGCGGUGCGGGAGGCGUUGCUUGUAGAAGGAGUCGAUGAUGGUUGUGAAGAGCUGGAGCGACGGCGGCGCUCCCGACGAAGGCUUCCGGAGGAGGUGGAGCGCGGAGUCGGCGCCGGAGGUGAGGCAGAGCGACUUGGCGAGGAUGCUGUCCGUGACGGCGUCCCGCGGGACAGAGGCAUGCGCGGCGAGGAUUGAGGGCACGAGCCCGGCCAGGCGGCGGCGGCGGAGGAGUGGACCGAGGACCGCGUUCAGGUGCGCGGUAUUGGGCGACGUCAUGGUGCCGAGCAGAGCGGAGGCGCGGUCGGGGAGGCCCAGCGUGGAGAGGGCCGAGAGCGCGGCGACGGGGUGGGAAGGGAACAGGGGCGCGAGAGUCGCGUCGAUGUCGUCGAGGCGGCCAGCGCGGGCGAGCUGGCGAAGACGGGCGAUAGGGACGGGGAGCUCGGUUUUCUCUGCCGCUGCCGCGGCGGUGGAGAGGAGCCGGCGGCCGGCGGCGGAGAAGGUUGCGGCGGCCAUAGCGGCGGAAGUGCGGAGCGAAACCAGUGGCCCUGUAUUAGGGUUUCGAGAAGCCGACUGCAAUAGUGAUCAGACUUCUUUCGCGGGUUCGGUCAGGCAGGCCUUGAGAAUGUGGAGCUGGGUAAAACAGCCCGUUCAGCAAAAUUCUCUGCGUGCCCUUCCUGUCCAUACAUUUUUAGUCCCAAUUUUAUGUCUGCGUUUCCUAUUAACCUCGUCCGAUUAAUCCACUUUUAAAAAUUAAAAGAUCUCGUAAACAAUAAAUUGAAGGAUUUGAUUACUCAAUAUUUGAUUGAAAUAGAUUCAUAACAAUUCUAAAAAAUAUGAAUUUUCUAUUUCAUAAUCAUUCCUAAUUUCAUUCUAAAAAUAAAAUAAAGAACCUAUAUUAUAAUAUGGUUUCUGUGAUUAAUAUUUAUUACUUUGAUUCGUUAGAACAACUUCCAUUGAGUCUCUGCACCUCCUUUUCCUUUGGGUUCUAGUUUAAGAACCACUUAUUUUUUAAAAAAAAACAGAUUUGGCUCAGGAUUCCCAUUUUCCAUUCCAAGGUUUCUCUGAAUUUGGAAGUUACCAUUUAGCAGGUUUCGAUAACAAGGCUCAAUAGAAUCAAGUUUGUAGCGUCUACCGAUUUCUCCAUAUCCCCGUUUUACUUUCCUUUGAAACCAGGAUUCCUGGUAUAAUUUUUCCAUCUCUUAGUUUUUUUUCGAAUCAUUGAAUUCAUUAUUCGGCGUAGUCUAGCAACUCAUCUGUAUUUGAGACACCCCGCUUGCUUAUUGCAAUUCAGAAUUGCAUUGAUUUUAUCGUUAAUAUAUUUGCAAUUCAAUCGGAAUGAAUAUAUCCAAAAGUUUUUCUCCCUCCUACCUCCCUCCUUCCUUUUUAGAGUAUUCCAAAUCAUACUAUAACGCUUGAUAUUCAUUCUUUUUUCUAAACUGAAUUAGAAAUUUCAUUUGCUAUGAUUCUAUCUUCUCCUCAGUGAACUAUUUAUCCUUAAAUUAUUAACAAAUAAAAAACUUGGCAUUUUCUCUUUAUUAUAUUAUUCAUAUAUAUUCUUCUUUUCUAUGUAUUAGAUUAUUCCUCCAAGCCAUAUCAAAUUGAAAAUAUCUGAAAUCAAAUUCAAUAUACAAUUUAGAAUAUAUUUUUAUUAAAAAUCCAUUUGUGAAUUAGAGAAAUAAAAAUAAAGUUCAAUAAAUUCUAUAAUCCUAUUUAAGAAUAUCAUUUAGUUAAGCAUAUCGCUAACUUUAUCUUUAUGAAAUUCUAGUAUUUUUUCUAUCUAAGUGAAACUUCCAAUUUAGAACUAGUUAAUAAUUAAGAUAUGACAUUUUACAUAUUCCCUAUAUAUAUUUUAUUUGUUACAAUUUUCUAUUAUGUAAACCCCACUUAGCUCAGAGGUUAGAGCAUCGCAUUUGUAAUAUGACGGUCAUCGGUUCAAAUCUGAUAGUGGUCGACUUUUUUCUAUCGAUGUUCUAUGAAUAAGAAUUUCUCUUUUUCUCCAAAUAAAAUGGGGAAUCCAGAGUCUAUUAUGUCGUUUCACCUUACAAUUUUGCUAGAUACAAAGUAUACAAUUAAAUAAUAUAUAUAUAUACAAAAAAAUCCAGAUGUUGAUGAAAUUCCAUCUUUUGUGUUACUUUAGUAGAUUCUACUCUAUUUAUGCUUUAGUUUAAUUCUGUUUGAAUUUCAAUGUAUUCUGUAAUAUAAAUAGAACAAAACUUAUUGUGUAAAAUGAUAUAUCAAUAAAAUAAAAAAGGAGUCUUUAUGUCUCGUUAUCGAGGGCAUCGUUAAAAAAACAUCAUAUGGGAGCUUUACUAGGACUCACUAGAAAAGCGCAUAAAUUCGGAAGUAAUCAGAAAAAGAAAUUCCAUUAUGGGAAAAAGAGUAAUGUCAUAUUCAUCUUCAAGACAACAGAAAUUGUGUUUUCAUAAUUGUCUGACAGACCGACAAUUACUUAGAUAUGUAUAUAUCACUGGAAAAGCAAAAAGAUCCACAUGUCAGGUUUCACUACAAUUACUUGAAAUGUGUUUGGAUAACAUCCUUUUUCAAUUGGUAUACAAUUUGCCUCCACGCCAAAUUUGUUUGGAAUCUAAGAUUGUUUCAGGAACUUGCAGCUCAUGAGACCUAUCUGGCAAAGAUGGAACAACGAAAACAUUAGCUCCCACUUUUGGUUUCAACGGUGAUACAUGGAAGAUGGGGUGAAUGCCACAUCCCAUUGGAAGAGCCAAUUCAUAUGCCACCGCAUUGACCUAACAAAAUCACUGUGAAAGGCCUAAAAACUUGAAUGCCAAUUUAGGGUUAAUGCGUGAAGCGACAUAGGACUGAUAGUAAGGUUGAAGUUUGAGGAACACUUUGUCCUGCUGUAAAUUUACGAUCAGUUCGGCCUUUGUAAGCUUGUAUUUUUUCAUUCUUUCUUGAGCUCAGUGAAGAUGUAAUUUAAUUUGCUGCAACACAUGUUGUCUCUCUUCCAUCAUUGUCUAAAUGUCUGGUAUUGUAUGCUUCCCAGAGAUAUCAAUACCAAAGUGUAAAGGCUUAUGACCAUACAACACUUCAAAAGGGGAUGUUCCAAGUGCUGAAUGGUGACAUGUAUUGUACCAAAAUUCUGCUAAUGGCAGCCACAACGACCACUUCUUUGGAAAAGAAUGUAGGAAACAACGAUGGUACAUUUCCAUACACUAGUUCACUCGUUCUGUCUGACCAUCAGACUGGGGAUGGUAAGCACUGCUUAAACAUAACUUCGUGCAUGCUAAACGAAAUAGCUCCUGCCAUAAUUUACUUGUAAACACUAGAUCUCGAUCGGAUAUCAUGGCCGCUGGCAACCCAAGUAGCUUGUAGACCUCAAGCAGAUACAGUUUGGCCACCAAAAAACUAUGAAUGGAUGGCUCAAGGGCAAGAAGUGAGCAUAUUUAGAAAAUUUGUCCACCACUACUAGUAUACAACUUUUUUGGUCUAAUUGUGGAAAUCUAGUGGCAAAGUCAAGACUAGCAGUGUGACAUGCAUGAUUGGGGACUGGUAAUGGUAGAAGAAGGCCUGGAUAUUUUGCCCAAUCCGACUUAGCCCGCUGACAUGUGAUAGUGGAUUGCACAAACUCCUUGACAUCUUUCUUCAUUCCCGGUCACGUAAAGGUAGCCUUGAGUCUACUGUAUAUCACUGGAAAGCCCGAGUGUCCACCCACUGGAUCGUCGUGCAAUGCUGCCAUGAUAGUGUGCUGCAGUUCAGUGUUUGAUCCUAACCAUAUUCUACCUUUAAAUCGAAUCACACCAUUGACCAGACCGUAUUGCUCGUGAAUGCCCCAUGUAGUCAGUAACUACAAUAUCCUCUGAGCAACUUGGUCCUUCUCAUACCUUGAACCACUUGCAACAGCCAAAUAGGAACUAUAGUGGACACAUUGACUUGAUUCAACUGUAACUCGGGUACAUCCAUUUCCAAUCCUGGUCACAUUGAUAGUGCAUCAACUACGCGAUUAUUAGUCCCUUUCUUAUACAUAAUUUUAUAUUGCAACCCCAUAAGUUUGGUCAGGGUUUUUUGCUGCCACGCAGUGGAAACUCUUUGAUCCCCGAGAUGAAUAUGUUGGAUUAAUGUGGGCUUGGCCCAAUUAAUAUUCAAUAAUAGUCAAUGUUAAUUCCAACUCAUGUCCUUGGUUCUAGCCUCCAUAGAUUGCAACCAAUAUAGAGCCGAGCCCUGAAAAUGCAUGACUGCCACCUGGAUCCACAUCUCCAUAGGAACAACAUAGUAUUCAAAAUAAGUUUCACAUUGACUCUUCCACAAAUUGGGAUUGGAACCAUCAAACAAUGGAAAACUUGUUUGGGGUAAAUUCACUCCGGACCCUUGAGACCAACCCUAUCGACGCGAACUGGCUUGCAAGUGUUUGCCCGAACAACCAUGGGGCAUAAGGAGGAGGCAUGACCAUACCUCCCGUUGGUUGAGGAAUUCGAUUUACAUCCAUCUCCAUGAAUGAUCGCCGAAAGGGAUCGGUUGUUCAGUGCAAAGUAGACCCCAGCGGCACUUAUCCAAACGUCGUGUUCGAUGUCGUCGACGUUGAAGAACUUGUUCCCACUAGAACAACACCCCGAUGAGAUGGGUGGUGGAAGUCUCGUAGCCUUCUAUGCCAUCUUGUCCAUCUGGGUGUGUGUGCUUGCCAACACUUCCGUUAUCUCCCCAACCUUCUUCUCGAUUCCCGGCCUCCACCUCUAAAACUCACCCCGAUCGGUCAUCAGACCUUGCACGGUGAGAUCCAUCUACUCCAUGGUUGAGUGCAUCACAUCCAUAUGUCGUCACGUCUCCUUGUUACCCUCAUCGAUUUUGGCGAUUAGCUGCACCAACGAAUCCUCCACCCGUGGACGUGCCAUCUCUCUAGCCUUGGCUUGAAACCUGGUGUUGUACGCGUGGUGAGGAUCCAGAUCGGCUCCGAUUACCAACUGUUAACACCACACAAUCACACAAUCUCGCAAACACUCACAUGCUCGGAUAGUGGUUGGGUUUAUUCUUUCGUGUGUUCCAAGUUCAUCAUCAGCCAAAAGCCAGCCUUACAAUGGAUUACCUUUUUCCCUUUUAAACCCCGCUAAGACUCACAAUAUUCCUUGACUUACAGACAGGUGAGACCCCAGUUACACCCAGCUAUCACCAUCAUACUUCGAAUUCAGCUUCCUCUCCCGAUGGUUCCUCAGCUUCUGGUCCUCAACAACUCCAGCUUUUCCAAGUGGCUUCUCUUCCCCUGGCUUGGUUGGUUACUGUGGUUUGUCUGGCAUGACGGUUCAGUUUAUCAUUAUGACGCAUGAGCUGUUGACAAUUGUCCACUAAACCAAGCCAACUCAAGUGCCCAAAGUUGACUAGGCCGCCCUCCAAAGACGGCCAAUUCGAUCACAGUGUCCGACCCUGUGAAAUCCAGUCUAGCUGAUAGGGGCGAAGCCAGGUUACCUUUUUGUGGUGCACAGGACCAGGGUAAAAUAAAAUCUUGUUAAUAUACUAGUACGAUGCACAUGUGUUGCGACGGCAUAUAAAUUAUUUAAUAAAAUGUUUGUGCACAACGAUUACAUGAAAGCAAACAACACAUAUAUUAUCAUCGACUUCAAUAUCUCAUAAAUUUCACAAAUUGUGCCAACAACCAAUCUCUACUAUAAAGCAUCAAUUUACACAUGCUUUUGGUGGAACUCUAAAGUCAUCUUCACAAUCAGAAUAUCAUAACCUAAAGUCCAAUUCUUAUGGUGACUGACAAUAUAAAUCUACAAAAGAGAAUCAAAUGCAGGUACAAUCUCAAGAAGAAUAUGGUCCUUGAAGAUGACAUAAGCAAAGCUGUUUUUUUUAACAUAUCUUACCUUUAUGUAGAGAAAAAUACAUAAUAUAAAGCUUCCAUAAACAAGAGCAGAGUAUAUCUCCCCAAGUGAUCAUACGCUAUUGGAGGGUUAAAUAUACCGAACCUGACACAAAAGUUUCUUCGUGUUAGCAUGUUUAAUUGUGGACAAAUGACACAUCGACAUACACAAUUUAAGAGCGCCAACACCCCAAUUUGGAAAGGAAAUUGGAGGGAUAAAGUAAAGUCGAUUAGUUCAUAUGCUUAUAUAUAACAAAAGGAUACAUAGAAAUGCAAGCAAAGUUGAGAAUAUCAAAAGGAUAGAAAAACUACAAGCGCAUACACAAGGAUUAUCAGUUUGAUGACCAUAAGAUCAAAGGUUCCAGAACCUUAUUUUGUUCUAUUUAUAGGACUGAUGAAUAGCCAAGAUGUGUGGCAGAGCGUUGAUAGAAGGUAAAUCACAGGAUGCCAGCAUUUAUUCAUUUCAUGCAUGCCCUUCAACAUCUCCUGAAGAGGAAGAGAAAUGGAACCAAGUUAAAAUUACACGAACAACAGGUUGACUAUAACGAAAAAGGAUAGUCUUACCACCACAAACCAAGGUUAAGUUAUCAAGGUCCAAUAUAGUAUACUCAAUUGAUCUUCCAUGUUUAUCUAGCUGCUAGUACUUAUUCAAUUAUUAUUUCUCUUCAUUAAGUUCUUUUAGUCUUUCCUCUAAGUGAGAGCACCUAGAGGGGGGGGGGUGAAUAGGUGAUCCUGUAAAAACUUGAAACUUAAUGCCACAAAACUUGAUUAGGAGUUAGCACCAUAAAGCCAAAUGGCUAGAGAGGAGUUCUUUCACAACACAAUAACCACAAGAAGAUCAACACAAAUAGGCACAGUGGUUUAUCCCGUGGUUCGGCCAAGACCAACACUUGCCUACUCCAUGUUGUGGCGUCCCAACGGACCAGGGUUGCACUCAACCCCUCUCAAGCGGUCCAAAGACCCACUUGAAUACCACGGUGUUUUGCUUUGUUUCACUAUAUCCCGCUUGCGAGGAAUCUCCAAAAGUUGGAGCCUCUCGCCCUUACAAUUUGAUGUUCACAAAGAAGCACGGAAAUAAGGACGGGAUGAGCAACGCACACAAGACACAAAAUCAGAGCACACACACGCGCACAAGUCACAACUCAAGCUCACAACACAACCCAAAGAGUUCUCUACUCAAAUGGAGCUCUAGUUGCUAUCACAAAGAAUCAAAUGCGUGGAAUUGGAGUCUUGGUGCUUAGGAAUGCUUAGAGAAUGCUUUGGUGUUCUCCUCCAUGCGCCUAGGGGGCCCUUUUAUAGCCCCAAGGCAGCUAGGAGCCGUUGAGAGCAUUCCAGGAAGGCAAUUCUUGCCUUCUGUCGUCUGGCGCACCGGACAGUCCGGUGCACCACCGGACACUGUCCGGUGCGGAUUUCUUUCCUGUUUUGGCGCAGCCGACCGUUGACGAUUUGGAGUCGUUGGCGCACCGGACACUGUCCGGUGCACACCGGACAGUCCGGUGCCCCCUUCAGACUGUUGGCCUGGCCACGCGUCACGCGCGGAUUGCGCGGCCGACCGUUGGCUCGGCCGACCGUUGGCUCACCGGACAGUCCGGUGCACCAUCGGAUAGUCCGGUGAUUUAUAGUCGUACGCCGCCGACGAAACCCGAGAGCAGCCAGUUCGCCAGAGCCAGCCUGGCGCACCGGACACUGUCCGGUGCUCCCAGACUGAACUGUCUUUGGCUGAACAAAGCCAUCUCUUUUCCAAAUUGAUUUCUCCUAUUUCCAGUACUUAGACACAAUACAUUAGUCCUUAAAACAAAGUACUAAGUCUUAGAAACAUACCUUUAUGUUGAUUUUCACUUCUUGAGUCCUUGGCAUAAUUUAACACUUAGGCACUUGUGUUGGACACUUAAUCACCAAAAUACUUAGAAAUAGCCCAAGGGCACAUUUCCCUUUCACUAAGUAGUGGAGACAAUUUGAUCAAUCUGUUUCCCUUUGUUGGCUUCUUGUAAGUAAGGAAUUGUGUCUCAACAUGCUACUUUGAUAUUUGUUAAGAUAUAUUAAGAAUUAUGGAGAUUCAAAGUUUCAAACUACUUGUUUUGGUCAUUAUUUUCAAGCUCUCCUUCCGCCUAUCUUCAAAUAUGUGUGCCACCAAUCUCUUUGGGAUGAUAUAGUUGUUCAGAAUCUUUCAUCACUUCAUCAGGGUAAAGGAUGCAAUCUACUAUUGACAAAUGUGUCCACGUAAUAUCUGAACAGAUUGAAUACAUGGAUAAGUAAAUGGUGAGUACUUGUUACCUUUCCUUGCUAGACAAUGUAGUAUGGAUUACAACGAGAGAAACCGGUACUGGGAGUGAACUUUUAACAAGAAUGAAACAUUAGACUCACCCAUGGAGUUCAACAAGUCUGUUAGUAAGCUCGUACACAUAAGAGUAAUAAAAGUACAUACGAGAUGCCAAGACAUCAUUCAACAGUUCUCCACUUUAGAUUCUUCAGGUGAGUAAUGCUCACACUUGCACAUGUUUUAGCCUUAAUACAAAAGCAGUCAAAAUAUUAUUUUACACAUCAAACAUAAGGAAAAUCAGCGUUUUAGAUGUACCUCAUCGUAUUUCUUCUAAUCAAUAAGAAAAAUCAGUACAAGCAGGUAGCAAUAUAUUUCAAUCUCAAGGAUACCAUGUUUGAUUGAAAUCAAAGCCACAACAUCAACAUCCAUCUUAGUAUCGUCUUCCUGAAAGAAACUACAAGUGAACAUUAGGAGUUAUAAAUGUGAUAUUUUUUUCUAAAGUGGAUACAUGAUAGAAAUUGAGGAAAUGAGUUUGUGUCCUUAUCAAGUCAAAUUUGGGUAUUGUUUAUUCUCUAUAUAUGAAGCCACUUAGAUCAUCCCAAGAUGGUCUGUUUUAAGAUAAACUUAAAUCUUACAGGACAUACAGAAGCAAUAGACUUUGCCACUGGAACGACCUUGUCAUCAAUAUAACUAACAAAACAAUUGCAGACAGGACACCCUGCAAUUAAGCAUUUGAAAGAAGCACUCAGAUUAGUGGGGACAAGGAUGGCAUGGAACUAAAUCACAUUGUUACAAUGCUCCAAAUAAACAUACCAGACUUGGGCAUAUUACAACAAUUUGCUUCUCCAGCAAAACUCCAACGAAUAACCCUAACACCUUUAGGAAAAAAUAACUUUAUGCAAAAAUGAAUAGUCACGACAACAAUUACCAUUUAUAUUAUACCCCAUAUACCAAAUGUAUGAUCUUAAAAUGGGUUAGUAAUGAUCGUACUGAACAAACAGAAUUGCAUGGAUGUGACCUAUAUUUAAUGUGGUCUUAAUCACCUAUAUUUUACACAGCAAAAUAUAUAGUGUUUUGUGAUUCAAAAAGACCAGCUUCCAUUCAAAAAGUUUUGUUUCUCACCCUGCUCAGGCUUUGUACAGUCUUUUUUGUUUGCUCUCCUUUUUUGUUUUGUUUGUGCAAUUGUUUCUUUAGUUCUAACAAACUUUUAUUAUAGUGCUAUACUGUAUUUACAGUUCAAAAAUGUUUGGUUGGUUCAAGAACUAAUGAAAUCUCUCACUUCACUUCUUCCUGUUGAUUAAGAAAAAUAACUCACGACAUAGCAUACAGGUCUUAUCUGUGGAAUUUCACAAACAACAAAAAAAUAAAGAUAGAAGAAAAUCUUGGUUGUCAAUAUUAUAUCUUAGGAAAAGGUCUUGAGUGUUGAGCUUCUUCUGCAGUCACCAAAUGUAAAUUGAUCUACAUUCUAAGUUUCAAGAUUAGAGAAAUGGAUGAAUGAUACUGCAGGCUAUAGUCAUGAUAGGUCAAGUAUCUACUUUAAAUGUCCAAAUCGCCUCUGCAAAACCCAACAAGGGUAAUCCAGACCAGGAGUAUUUCACAGGUUGGACAUGUUCAAGGGUGUGGAAUACAAGUUCACCACCACGAGGUGGUUGAGGAAGAGCAUGAUAACCACAAACAAUCUGUAGAGGUUCAUUAUUGUGUGCCUAAAAACGAUAAUGUAUAUGAACAAUAAGAAUUCAAGCCAUCUUAAGGUAUUUGAGAGGCAUGAAUAUCUAAAAUGACCGGCACCGGUUUGUCCUCCAAAGUACUACUAUAAAUUUUUUUGUACACUUGUACUGACGGUUAUCAUGGGUAAAACAAAAAAAAAACACAGGGCAACUCUUAACUAAAUGCUCAUACUUUAAUGGUCUAAUACAACUUAUUUUAGCAGUGUAUUAUCUUGAUUUGUCCUGCAGAGAUAUGGUGCUUUGUAUUUGUUGGCAGCUUCUUCAAUUACUACUGGAAUGUCCAUGAGCUGGAGGUCUGUGGCUGUUUGUCUAUGUUUAGGUUAUCUCCAUCAGCUUUUCUAUCCUACAUACCAUGUCUCCUAAAAAUGCUCCAAACCGACCACAUACAUUGAAACUGCUUCAUUAAAAAAACAUGACACCAAUAUUUUUUAAAAAGACAACACUUCAUAAUUUUACUAAAAGCAAAUUUGUCAUGUUUCUCGGUCCAUAGUUUCAACACGAGAAGUACUUGACUAUAAUUCUGCUUCAGAACCCAUGAGAAAUAGUACUUUUCUGCUGUCCAUAAGCUAACAUGACCAAAUUUGUUUAAAUGUGGAGCCUACAAAAAAUCAAACUUUCUGCAUUAUUUUAAGCUAAGAGAAAAGAGCUAUUACUAAUACUCAAAGCACAGCAUGCAGAGCCCACACUCGAGCUCCCACUUUGUGUCCACUUCUGAUAAAUGCUCAUCCCUGCUCCUAAAUUUUUUCAGGCACAAUUUCCUUUGUUUCAUGUCAUCCAGCUCGGUGAUGCCACUUAGAAGAUGCAGCAGCGACGGGAAAACAAUGUCUGCCAUAGCGUAACGCAGUCAGAAUCGACACUUAUGGGCAAUUAUUCAAGGAAGAAAGUGGGUGGGUUACCAUAAAACUCCAUGAUGAUGGCCUCCAUCUCCCAAUCAGGAAGCGCCGACGAGCCAUUUGCGCACACCUAUCGGAGAAACAACAACUCUACAGCCAGCUCAUGGAGUGAAAACCUAAUCGAGCACGACCACGAGCUAGGGUGCAAGGUGAUACCUUGUAUAGCAUAAUCUUCAGGAGGUCGAACACGCCCGUGAGCUUGUGCCUUGCAGUCGGUACAGUGCAGGAGGAAAUGAGUGACGACGUUGUACGCCACCCACAUCUGGAUGACCGAACCAUCAUAGUCCCUAAGGAAUUUAGGCCCCCUGCUCACACAAACAAUCCCGAAACAAAAAAUGCGCACACAUCAUCCAUUCACGCUGUUGGACCUCAUGGACAGGGGCAGUGGCGGUGUUAUCGACACCGCACCAUCAUGUAGGCUGGCAUGACUCUCGCUGGACAGAUGUGCGGUGGUCAGUGCCUGAUCCAGACUUCUCCUCACCGCAUCGUCGCGGUCUUCCUUCCCAUGCCUCGAAAGCAUCGCGGCGCGCGCGACGAGGGAGGAGCUCGGUGGCGCCUCGGUUCGGGCGAUACAGGGGCGAGGGCUAUGCGCCUGUGGGGGAGGGAACACGCAGCGGGGCAUCAGGAGGCGGGCGUGGUGGGCGGGGGGCAUAGAGGUAGGAGAGCGGGACGGGGGCACGGACGCCGAUCUGGGGGAUGGGGGCACGAUAUUGCCGCGCGGGAGGGCGAGCUUGACGCGGGGACGCUAAGAUUGCCGCGGGGGAGGGAGAUUGCCGCGGGGGAGGGUGAGCUUGCCGCGGGGGACGCCAAGAUUGCCGCGGGGGACGCCGAGAUUGCCGCUGGGGAGGGCGAGCGCCGAGAUUGCCGUGGGGGAGGGCGAGGGGGAGCGUUUGCCGAGGGCGCGCUGCUGCGAUGUCAGGCGAAGGCGUGGUGGAUGCCCCCGCUACGUACAUAUGGUGCAGCAGAGAUACCUUAAAUUUAUCAUGUAUUUCCCUUUAAAUUGUAUACUUUUUUUGUGUUUGAUAGAGUGUGCACUAGUGUUAUUUUUGAGCUGGCUUCAUCCUUGCUAGUAGACUUCCAAUGUCGUCUAGGUUGACUUUAGCUCAUUUAGAGUCGAUUAUUUCCAAAUCGUUUUUGGAUCUAUUUCAGCCUGGAAAACUUGAAGAACAGAUUUCGGAUUUGUUUUUACUAGGAUAAAACCACCUAUCUCUGAUUUACGAAUCGUAAAUAAAUAUUUGAAUCGUGAUCUAUUACCACUCCCAUUUGUAAGCCCAUUUGUAAACCGAUGUCUCCGCCACGUAAGUGUCGACAAAUCCUUCAAGCGAGAGGGAUUGAGGGAACGACGACUUGAUAGGAUCAUAAAACCUUGGGCUUAAGAGAGACGACAACGGGACGCUUGAACGAGACUCCUCGCUGCUGGUACAGCUACAGCAUAUCGGUUAUCGGGGCCAUGCUCACGCACGACCUGUCCGCCUCACUAGGCUGUCAUGUUUGCCCGUUGGUGUCUCGCAUAAUGGAGGAGAUGGAGAUGGGGAGGAGAAUAGACAGGGGUUAACUUCCUGAUGAUGGCUGGCCGCCCAUCAUUAGUUGAGCAAAAAGAAAAAAACGAGAGGAUAUGCUUCUUUUUACGUUUGGCAGUCGUCUGGACUGGACCAGAGAGAAGGGAAGCGCAGCUGCAGACCAGAGAGGCGCGCUCGGCUCGACCGCAUGAUGGAGGUUUCACGUGCUCUCUCUGCCUUUUGGCCUUUCGUGUCUGGUGUUGCAUGGACCCAACCCUGACGGCUUCACUACAGGUACAAGGGUAGUAAUGGUUUGUUACACGCUUCAACUCCCCCUCCCUCGUCUCGACACGAGCUGCCAGAUCAUAACUGUAUUCUUUGUUGCCUGGCUUGAGAAGGAAACGAAGCUUAAGUACUCUUCUCCAUCAAACCACUGAAAUGAAAAGAAAAAAAAAGGAGGGGGGAGGGCAGGAAAGGUCUGGGUCAAGCUGAACCAGACCGUCCAAAGGAGGAGAGGGACAGGUCAGUGCAGCAAGCAAAAAAGAGAGGCCCCCAUAUGGCUCCAUGCCUUUUAACAGCGAUCAUGUGCUGCUCCUGCUCGCCCGCCAGUACACGCAGCGACUCAUCGCGGUCAUGUUUAUUUAUUUUUGCCAGGAUUGCUUUGCUAAGAAUUUCUUUGGAACUCGCACUGAAAUGAGAUCGGCAUUUCUGCCGCUGUCGCAUUCAGUUUAAUAAAAUACGACGAUGAUAUAAAAAGGAACUCGGCAAGGUUGGGCUUGGGCAUCACGAUUCAUUCAUGGUGUGAGCUUCUGUUUGCACGGAUACGUCUAACGACUAGGGAUGAAAGUGGUAAUCCGAACUGUUAGAACAAAUUUAAUAUUUUAAAAUAGAUAUGUAUAAAAUUUGAUGUUGAUCUUUUCUUAUGUUAUCAAGCACAUUAGUACAAAUAUGGAUAAAAUAUUAUAUAAGUUGUUUUAUGUAUUAUUUGCUCUCUACAACACAAAAAGUUGAAAAAAUUACCGAAUUUGUUUCCGAAUCCAUACCAAAGUUUAUAUCUAUUAUUUGAGAAAAUGUAGGAUGAAUUUGAGGUUUACCUUUUAUGAAUCUUAACAAACUGGAUGUUAAAAAUAAGAAUACAAAUUUGUAUUGUAUAUUCUAUAUCUUAUUUAUUCGCAAUCAAAGAAAAAACUGAUUACCGAAUAAAUACCGUUUCCGACCGUUUUCAUCCCUACUAACGACCCUCAUAAAUGAGAUGAGAUGCCCAAAUCUUCGCCAGCGAAGGAAGAGCAUUAAACUACACACGCCCCAAGGUUCAUUCUCCUGCCUGAGAGCAGAUCGAGAAAACACACCUGAAGGAGAUAUACUCCUAUUUUAACCAGUCACUCUUUUCAGAUGGUCAAUGAUUUAUUUGAUUUUUUAAAUCCUGGCUACAUCCACAGAAGAACGGAAACGGACCUGCGUCGAUGCAACGCGACGCGGAUCCCUAGUAGAAUCAAAUCUAACGCGUCACAGACAGCGACGCGAAAUUCGCAGCGAGCGAUGGAGCGAUGUAUAACGAUAAAUCAAGCGCAGAGAAAGACGAGACUAGCAGCAACGCAUAUCUCAAAUGGGACCAAUAUCAGUAGCAAAUAUCAACCAGACAGAAUCACCACUCACGAUCACGACGAGAUAGCAGAGUACUAUCUACAAGGGGGGGAUGAGAUCACACAACCGACACCGCGACAUGGUAUAGAAACCCUCCCUGCACCAAGGAAACCAGAUCCGACCAAAAUGCGACGACGACACGACAGCACCGAACAAAUCUCACUACUACUAGUACUACUGGAUAGCACUCCAAUAAAUAGAUCUAGGCGGCGGCGGCGGCGGCGGGGGAAGUACUGCUAGGUAGCCUGCAGGCACGAGGCCCCAUCGGCUCAGUGGCGGACGGCGGCGAAGAGGAAGGCGGCGGCGGAGGCGACGAGAGCCGCGGCGAAGGGCGACGACGCCGCGACGGCGGCGGAGACGGGGCUGGGCGCGGGCGCCUCGGCCGCGGCGGCCACCGAGAAGGAGACGGCCGCCAGAACGGCGGCAACGGCGAGGGCCUUCGAUCCGACUCCGGCCAUUGCUUGCUUCGCUUCGACGGGUUGUGGAUUGUGGUGUGGCGGCGGCGAGAUGGUUCCAGAAGGCUGAUGCGUUGCUGUGCAGAAUAAUAGUGGCGAGCACGAGAUCUAUGCUGGUGCCUGGUGGUGGGGAAAGGUGUGGAGGGGCGAGUAUUUAUAGAGGACAGGGGUUGGAGUCGCGGGCUAACGGGUAUGGCUCGCUGGUGACAGCUGGUAUUGGUAUAGAGCUUUAGGCCAACUCCAGUAACUGUAUGUGGAUG